UUCCUCACCUAUCCAAUUUCCCCCUAUUUUUUUUAAAAACAAUUUCGAGAAUUGAUGAACGAGAAGAGUGUUAAAUUUGUGAAAGUAAUUCAGGUAUUUUAAAAUUUCAAUUGAAUAAGGAGGGGAUUCAUCGUUUAGCUAUUUUUUGGGUUAUGUUUGGAGGUUGAAGAAUGGGGGUGAAAAAGACCGAAAUACCCUGCAUGUGGGAGGCAUGUGAGGGUGUUAGCGGAGGAUAGAUGACGGCGAACUCGUCAAAGGACGAACUGUGAACUAGACGACUUUUUUUCUUCUGUACAAGAACGAACGAAGAAAUGGAAGAAAUGCCGAUACCAGAUGUAAUAGCGGAUGAAUGGUGUGGUGAGGUCAAUACAUCGGUGGAAGAAAAGGAGAAGUUUGAGUUAUUAAAAGCGUCACCUGCUAAAGCUAAAACUUUCUCCCCUGAACAUCAACGAUAUUGGCUAUUUGGACAGCUUGUUUUCAAAAGGAAUUAUCUCCUGUUUGAUGAAAAAGACGAUGAAGUGAUAGAAGAAGAAGAAGAACCAGAUUCAGAAUUAUCAGAAGAAUCUGACUCAGAAGAAUCAGAGUCAGAAGAAUCCGAGUCAGAAGAAUGAGUCAGACGAACCAAAUAAAAAAGAAUCAAAAAGGAACGAUAACAGGGGAUACGGACCAAACAGAAGUUUGAUGAUGGUGGCAUAUAUAUAAAUAAAUCUUUUGAAUUGAUCAUCAUGAUGAUUAAGCUCUAUAGAUGAUAUGUCUUUCUUUUUCUUAUGUUAUCUAGUAGUAUUUGAUGAAUGUUUAAUAUAAAAUGGUUUGGUGCUAUAUCACUCGUAUUAUUAAUAGAUAUAUGCCCUUUUACUUAUAUCACUCGUAUUAUUAUGUUAUCACUCGUGUAAUCUUAAUUAAUAUAUGUCGUACAGUUUCUCAUCAUCGCAGAGGCGUCUCUUAAGGAAAAAAAAGGUUACAUCUGGUCAACUGUGGCUACAAGACUGUUUCUAGACGGACCAAAUGCUACAGAGGAAGAAUACAGUUUGGGGCCCAUUAAUUGGUUCAACAGAAUCAACUUCAUCUGAUUCGGUUCUUGUGGAUGAAAGCAGAAUAUCGGCUUGAAUUUUGUGUUAAGGAGAUUGAUAACGAAUGGCGGUUUAAACAAUGGAUGUCUGAAAUGGUACACGAUUGGAAAUAUCUAUCCAAGUUGGCGAGGCGGUAUGAGAUUACGGAGGGCACUCUCAUUGAUCCAGCCAAUCUCCCACUCACACCCACUCAGGAUGAUUGGGCAUUAAGGGUAAAGUAUGGAAUGGAAUUGUUUAGAAUGCCAGAGUAUCAACAUCGUGCAGCUGCGGUUUGCGUAAGGAAAUUGAUUCAGAAACAAUCGAAAAAGAACCAAGCUGUAAAAGGAGAAACAAGCAUCAAAAGGAAAUACAAGCAUCGAAAGUAGAAACAAGCAGCAACAGGAUGAUGAGAUGAUACCUUUGUAUCUAGUUACUUAGUCAGUUAGUACGUUUUUGAAGUUCAGUUGGUUCUGUAGUAUCGUAUGUUAAAACUUUGACAAUUGGAUUUGAAAUGUAAUCUUCUUUAGAUUCAA